UUUUUUGUCAAAAAAAUGGGCGAGCUGGCCAUGAGACCCGAAAUUAUACUUUCUUCUACCUUGCAGGUUGUUAUUUUUCUGAUGUUAGCAAAUUCAGAUGAAAUCAAUCAUAGAUAGAACAAAAGGUUUAGAAGAUGAAAACUAGAGAGCUGCAAUUGUGUGCCUAUGUGUGUGUGGAAGUACAUGCUAUAAUAAGACUUUAAAAUGGCUUACAUUGUGACUCCAGAAUCUUGAAAUUGCAGGAAUUUAUUACUUGAUGAAAACCUUGGGGAAAAACAAAUCAAUGCUGCUGAAAAGGUUAUUAAGCUGCUAAGACCUCCAGAGACGAGUUUUGGUUGCUCAACCCUGGGGGAGAUGAGG
rnacentral:lncRNA from 1 species